rnacentral:rRNA from 1 species
AGGUGAUAUAUUGAAAAAUGGUAUAUGUAAUUAAUAUUAUUUUAAGGAUUACGAAUCAAAAUUUAAGAAUGAUAAAAAGAUAACUCUAUAAAAGAGGACUGUAAAGAACAGUAAUCAAUCAUAAUCAUGAAAAUGAUAAAAAAUAAAACAAGUGGAAUGAAACAUCUGAGUAACUUGUAAAAUAACCAACAGGGAUAAUAUAAGUAACGGUGAGUGAAAGUAUUAAAAUCUUAAAGUAUUACCAAGAGGUAAGAAUAAAGUAGUUUCCAACUACUAAGAAAAGAAAAUAAAUUUUAGAUUAAAGUACUGCAAAGGAACGUAAAGAAAUAGAAUAAUAAAGAGCAUUCAUAGAGAUGGAUUACCUCUUGUAUAAUGGGCCAGUGAGUUAUAUAUUUUAGUGGGAAAAAGAUAACAUAUAUAAAUAGAAAAAAAUUAAAGUAUAUAGGCCCGAAAGCAAACGAUCUACACAUGUCCAAGUGUAUAUAAAACUAUAUUAGGUUUAUAUAUGACUCAAUAGGUAAUUGUAGCAAUAAUUUCUAAAGAGGUGUGUGUAGCUGUGACAGACAAAUCUGGUUUGCAGAUAGCUGGUUUUCUGCGAAAUAUAUUUUAGUAUAGCCUUUAUAUACAAUUUAAACUGGUACAGCACUUAAAUACCUUUGGGGAAUUAGAAUAUAAUUUUAUCAAAAUAUUUAAACCUCGGAAUCAGUGAAUAAUAAAUAUAAGGAGUCAGACUUAUUGCGAUAAGGUAGUAAGUCGAGAAGGAAACAACCUAGACUAUUAAAUGAAUGUCCCAAAUAUUAAUUAAGUGAAUAAAAUCUAUCCUACUUUUAUUUUUAUAAAAGUUAAAAUUUAACAAUUUUACAUUAUCUUUUAUUAGUUUACUAAUUUUAGAUAUUCGGGGUAUUAAAUUAUAGACAAUUAGUAAGUGGGUUUGACAAUAAUCAACUUUUAAUGAACAUGUAACAAUGCACUAAUUUUAUAUAUAUAUAUUAAAAAAAUAUAUAUUUAUUAAUAAUAGAGAAAAUAUAUCGGGUCUAAAUUAAUAACAGUAUUAUAGAUAUAAUAAUAAAUAUUAUAUGGUAGCAGAAUAUAUAAUGAAAAAUUAUAAAGAGAUUGCUGGCUUGAGUAACGAUAGAUAAUAUAAGAUUAUCCCCUUAUUCAUAAGGUUUUACUAUAAACGAACGGUCCCUAAGAUUAAUAUAGAAAUAUAUAAUUAAUGGGUGAAAGAACAAGAAAAUAAAAAUGAACCGUACUGUAGACCGACACAGGUAUGAUAACAAGGGAAUGGGAUAACUACUUUGAAUGAACUCGGCGUGCGACUUGAUAAGUCUUAAUUAAUAGUAUAACAUUCGGUUAUAUUGUGUAUCUUCCACUUUUGCCUACUUAAACAUGCAUUUUGAGUAAUUAUUUUGUAUGAAGCUUUAAGGAUAAAGUUUUUAUAAAACUUGGCACGAUACUUAUGGUGAAUGAAAGUGAAUCAAAUGUUUGAACAAUCGUGAAUUAAAUAAAAUUCAGGUAAAUGAUAAAAGUAUGUCGAGUGCUUUUAUGAAGAUCAUAUAAUACCAACGAUUGAUAAUUUGGCACCUAAAAGUUGAACAGAUAUUAAUUAAGGAACAAGGUAAACCCACUAUUUCUCAUAAAAAUAAAUUGUUAAAUUAUAUACCCGCCCACCCUCGGUGGGCGGGUCAUCUUUAACUCUUGUUUUAUUCCUUUUAUAAAUUUUAUGUUUAUAUAUUUUUUAUUCGGAAUUAUGAGUAGCUUAUUAUAAAAUAAUAAUGGAAAUAUAAGUAUAAAAUAUUGGGUAAAAGAUAUUUGAAAAAGCUAAUGCUUAGUGGUAAUAACUAAGAUAGGAAUAUAUAUUCUAAUCCGAGAGGGUGCUGACUUCAAAUUAGAUGACUCGCUGUUAUUAAAUAUGUAAUAUGUUAAUAAAAUAUAUGGAUAUAUAAAAUUAUAAAAUAGUAGGUAAUUUUAUCCCCAGGGAUAUAGUUGUUAUUCUUUUUUAUCAAUUAAUUUUAUAUUUCAUAAUAUUAACGAGUAAAACUAAUUAUUAAUAAACUAAUGAUUAAAAUAGCUAAUUUACAUAAAUAUUAAACAGAGGAAACUAUAAGAAAUAAAGGACCCAUAAAAAUACAAAGUUUGUAUUAAUAUAAACGGAAAGGAUAUAAAAAAAUAUAGAUAUUUACCCGGCUCCGCCGGGUAUAAAAUAGGGCCGUCUUAGACGGCCCCAUAUUUGAAUAAUAUCGUUCAUAAAAAAUUAAACUUCAAAGUUUCUUUUUUUUUAAUUCUUUCGCAUUAUUUAUGGGUUAUUAUAUCUUGGCUUCUAGAUAUAGAUUUAUCUCAAUAUAGAUUUAUAUAAUCUAUAAUUAAAAAGAUGAAAUAUAUGCUUUAUUAUGUUAGCAGGAAAAAUGAAAAAUAUAAGUUCAAAAAAGAAUGAAAAUAUAAAUAAAAAAAACUGAUAAAGAUAAGGUAUAUGUUAAAAGAGAUAAAUAAGAAGUAUAGUUACUGAAUAAUUGGGAUAAACCAAUGAAAAAGGGGUUGUUUGAGCCGUAUGCGAUGAAAGUCGCAAGUACGGUUCUGAACGGGGGAAAAUCUGUGAAGAUCUACCUAUCGUAAUAAAAUAAAUCGUGCGACUGUUUACCAAAAACAUAGCUUAUUGCAUACUAGUAAUAGUAAGUAUAAUAAGUGAUAUCUGCCCGGUGUUAGUUCAAUAAAUAUUAUUAUUUAAUAGAUAAUUUUAUAAAAAACUGAUAAACGGCGGUCUUAUUGUGAGGAUCCGAAGGUAGCGGUGCGACAAGAUAAGUUCGUAAUAAGAAUAAGGUGAAAAUCCUUUACAAUUGUCAUAUUUGUAAACCUAACUUAACAUGCAUUUUGAGUAAUUAUUUUGUAUGAAGCUUAAGUGACAACGGCUAUAAACUUAAUCUGAUAUUAGUGACUUAGUCUAGGUUAGAACGACAUGAUUAGUUUUUCGAAAUAGUGUUUAAAAUCUCGUUAUCGGUAAGUAACAUUCUCAGUUAUUAGUUACUUUAUGAUUAAAAUAAUAUCGACGCUACGGAUAUUAUUAUAUGACUCUAAUUUAUAAUCAUCGGGAUAUAGCUAUAAUCUAAAUCGUUCAUAAAAGUCUUAUUACGGAAACUUGGUAAGCCUUAUACAUUCCUUUUUUUAGGAAGUAAUAUAUAAAUUUAGUUAAUUCUAUUGGAAAUUAUUAUAUAAUGUAGAAGGUAAAGGAUAAAUAUAAAAAGCUAAAGAUUUUAUGUAAUGUAAAAUAUAGAGUAUUUUACUCAUUCUGAAAAGAAGCUGACUUAUAUAUAAGGCCUUUUAAUUAAAAUUAAAAUAUAUUUAUUAUUUGAUUUAUAUAUUUAUAAAAUAAUGCCGGCCGUAGGCCGGUAUUCGAUUAUAAUUUUUGUAAGAUAAAAAUAUCUUUAAAGGAUAAUAUCCUUAUUAAUUGGUUUGAGCCGUAAGCAGUGAAAGUUGCACAUACGGUUCUUAAGGGGGGAAAGCUUGAGAGGGCCUACCUAUCCUAACAAAUUCAUUGACGUAUAAUUGACGUCCUGCAUGAAUGAAUAUACGAUGCGAUAACUGUAUCCAAAGUAGACUCAGUGAAAUAGCAAUUGCGGUGAAAUUAAGUACUAUAAUAUAAAAAUUAUUAUACGCCGGGUUGGUGAGAAUCCAACUUUAUAGUUUUAAAUAAUAAUAACCGCCCACCUUAGGUGGGCGGUUAUCUUAAUCUAUCUAUUAAAUUAGGGGUUAUAUAUUGCACUUUAUUUGGCUUUAUAUUUUAUUUAAAUAUCUUUAUAGAUAGAUAAGUAUUAAUGAAUAUUAUAUAUAUUCAUACUAUUUCCGUCCUUAUAUAAAAUACAUUUUAUUUAGGUUGCGGAUAAAUAGUGAUAAGAAUACAAUCGAAUAAUACUUUAACCUUAAAAAAGGUAUAAUUAUAAUGGCAAAAUAUAAUUAUAAUCGCUAUAAAUAAAAAGGUGAAAACGGUUAAUGACAUCUUAGUUAAAGACCGUCGGCAGUUGUAUAUGUCGCUACAGACUGGUUCACCGAGGUUAGACUGUAAUGUCUGUCUAAAUGUACAGUCGGAUUCUGUAAUAUAAAUAUUUUAUUUAUAUAAAGGUGAAAGAUUUAUCAGUAUUAUUGAUAUAACUUAUUAGUACAUAAGUAAGAAACCUUUGUAGGUCAAACCUACUUCAGUUAAUCAGAAUUGGAAGAUGCCGUAUAUCCGUAGGUUGACAAAAAGACCCUAUGCAGCUUUACUAUAUCUUUAUUUUGAUUAUUAAUCAUAAUUUUUUAUGAUUAGCCUUUUUUCAUUUAUUUCAGAAGAUUAGGUUAUAUUUAUAUUUUAAAUCAAAUGAGAUACCUAUAUAAAUGGAAAAAGAAUCUAAUUAAUACAGUCAAAAUUCAGGAAUGAAUUACCCUAAUUUUAGGGUUAUUAGUUAAACUAAUGACUAAAGUAAUACUUUUUUAAGAAAGAGUAAAGAGGUUAGUUUCGAUGGGGCGUCGACAUCAGCGAAAGCAUCUGAUGUGUCUAAUAACUAAGAUCUUUUUUAUUAAAGACUAAAUGUUUAAUUAAAUUUUUUAUUUAAUAGUAAAUUACGUACAAUAAUUCUAUAUGGUAAAUAGAAUAUAUACAGAUUUUAUCUGUUAGAUUAUGAGUAAGGAUAACAACAUAAUUGUGCGAUGAUAAUAACACAAACAAGUGAAAUUAGUACUUACGUAGAGUGUAGUGAACAGGCAUAAACAAAUGGUAUGGAUGUCGAUAACGGAUUAAAGUUACGCUAGGGAUUAUUUGUUAGUUCCUUUAUAUAGUGAUAUAUAUUAUCUCCGCGAUAGUGAGAUACUCUUAUUUUUUUUUAUAAGAGAUAUAAAUUGGGUGAAUUACAAAGAAAUCUAUAUAUUUAAGAUAAUUUGUAGCGAAACAUAUAUCCCUAAUAUUAUAUUGGGGAAUAGUUUUAUUUCUUAUUUAUAAUAAUCAAAAAUAUGUUAUAAUAAGAUAAUAUAGAUAUAUGAACGUUCAACGACUAGUAAUUGAGUAAACUAACAAUAAAAUUACCACGAGCGCCCAAUACCUAAAUGUAAUAAAUAUAAAUAGGUAAAGACAUAGUCUGAACUAUAUAGAAAUAUAUAGAAGUUGUAAUUAAAAAAACAACAAUAACAAAAUUGAACAGGGUAAUACCGCGUGAGAGUUGAUAUCGUCAGCGGUGUUUGCCACCUCGAUUAAAAAUGAUAGUCGAGUAUAAAUAGGUUUAAUUGCAAGAAGUCUUAGAUAUAAUUAUAAAUUAAGAGUUAUAUCUUGAUAAUUUGCAGCGAAUUAUUAUCUAUAUAAUAUCUUUAUAAUAAGAUAAAAGGAUAAUAAACGUUCAACGACUAGUAGGUGAGUAAUAUAACAAUAACCUACCACGAAAUACCUAGAAAUAUUAAUACCUAAGGGGUUUAUAUAAUAUUUGAAGAUAUAGUCUGAACAAUAUUCCAUUUGGAAUCUCAAAAUUUAAAGUUUUAUUUAAAUGCUAUAAAAAACAUACUUCUUACUAAGUAUUUUUUAGGCAUAUUUUAAUUAGUUUAAAUAUUUAUUUUUUUUUAGAGAAUGAAAAUUAUUGAAGUUAAUAUUAAAAAUUUAACAAUAACAAUUUGGUCGUCUAGACUCGUCCUCCUGGUCGCAGCAACUAGGUAGGGUAGGACUGUUCGUCCUCUAAGGAGUUACUUGAGAUGGGUUAAUUACGACGUGAGUCAGUAAUGAUUUUAUCAUCUAUGGAUUUUUCUCUUAUCUGUUGCCUUAAGUGUACGCAAGGAUAAUAAGGUACAUUCCUAUGGUUAAUUCUUCUUUUUAGCUAAGAAUGUUGUGUUUACAUAUUGAAUGCAUAUCAAAUAUUAAAUCCUUCAGAUAAGUUUAUACAUUAUAGACUAUAAUGUUUUAGUUAAUUUGUGAUUUUCGCAAUUUUACUAAUUUUUAUAUAUAUUUUUUUAUAUAUUUUCUCAUUUAUUGAGAUUUAAACAUAUACCU